rnacentral:rRNA from 1 species
AUAUCAAUAAGCGGAGGAAAAGAAACCAACAGGGAUUGCCUCAGUAACGGCGAGUGAAGCGGCAACAGCUCAAAUUUGAAAUCCGGCUCCCCUCGGGGGCCUGAGUUGUAAUUUGCAGAGGGUGUUUCGGGCGCGGCGCCGGUCUAAGUUUCUUGGAACAGAACGUCGCAGAGGGUGAGAAUCCCGUCCGUGACCGGCGGCCAAGCCCGCGUGAAGCCCCUUCGACGAGUCGAGUUGUUUGGGAAUGCAGCUCAAAAUGGGUGGUAAAUUCCAUCUAAAGCUAAAUACCGGCCAGAGACCGAUAGCGGACAAGUAGAGUGAUCGAAAGAUGAAAAGCACUUUGGAAAGAGAGUCAAACAGUACGUGAAAUUGUUGAAAGGGAAGCGCUUGCGACCAGACCGGUCCGGGGGCGAUCAGCCGCGGCUCGUCCGCGGUGCACUCGCCCUCAGUCCGGCCAGCAUCGGUUCGGGCGGCGGGAGAAAAGCCUCGGGAAUGUAGCUCCUCUCGGGGAGUCUUAUAGCCCGGGGCGCAAUGCCGCCCGCCCGGACCGAGGACCGCGCUUCGGCUAGGAUGCUGGCGUAAUGGUCGCAAGCGACCCGUCUUGAAACACGGACCAAGGAGUCUAACAUCUAUGCGAGUGUUUGGGUGUCAAACCCGGGCGCGGAAUGAAAGUGAACGGAGGUGGGAGCCCGGCCAGGGUGCACCAUCGACCGAUCCUGAUGUCUUCGGAUGGAUUUGAGUAUGAGCAUAGCUGUUGGGACCCGAAAGGUACGUUCGAUCCCGUUCUUUUUUUUCUCUUUUGGUGAACAUGCUGACGGUGAGGCAGAUGGUGAACUAUGCCCGGAUAGGGUGAAGCCAGAGGAAACUCUGGUGGAGGCUCGCAGCGGUUCUGACGUGCAAAUCGAUCGUCAAAUCUAGGCAUAGGGGCGAAAGACCAAUCGAACCAUCUAGUAGCUGGUUCCUGUCGAAGUUUCCCUCAGGAUAGCAGUAACGUUUUCAGUUUUAUGAGGUAAAGCGAAUGAUUAGAGGCCUUGGGGCUGAAACAGCCUUAACCUAUUCUCAAACUUUAAAUAUGUAAGAAGUCCUUGUUACUUGGUUGAACGUGGACAUUUGAAUGCACCGUUACUAGUGGGCCAUUUUUGGUAAGCAGAACUGGCGAUGCGGGAUGAACCGAACGCGAGGUUAAGGUGCCGGAAUGCACGCUCAUCAGACACCACAAAAAGUGUCAAUUCAUCCAGACAGCCGGACGGUGGCCAUGGAAGUCGGAAUCCGCUAAGGAGUGUGUAACAACUCACCGGCCGAAUGAAUUGGCCUUGAAAAUGGAUGGCGCUCAAGCGUGCUACCCAUACCUCGCCGCCCGGGUAGAAACGAGGCCCG